rnacentral:rRNA from 1 species
CGGAAGCCCAAGAUGUACAGGGGAAGGGUCGUCCGCGCCGGGUUAGGUGUGACAUGAGUGGAGGCAGAAAGGCGUAGGUGAUGGACAACAGGUUGAUAUUACUGUACUACCGAUAAACGUUUGGUGGAAGGGAUGACACAGUAGGGUAAGGUAGGGAAACGGGUGGUAAUGUGUGCCAAAGCAUUGAGGAAGUCAAAGUAGGCAAAUCCGAUUUGAGAAUGCUAGGAUGGGAUGGGGAGCGAAAUUUAGUAGCGAAGUAGCUGAUUUCACAAUGUCAAGAAAAGUCUCUAUUGAGGUUAAAGGUACCCGUACCGCAAACCGACACAGGUGGGUGAGGAGAGUAUCCUAAGGCCAGCGAGAGAACUGUUGUUAAGGAACUCGGCAAAAUGACCCCGUAACUUAGGGAUAAGGGGUGCCACCAUCCGGUGGCCGCAGAGAAUAGGCUCAAGCGACUGUUUACCAAAAACAUAGGUUUCUGCUAAGUCGCAAGACGAUGUAUAGGAGCUGACGCCUGCCCGGUGCUGGAAGGUUAAGGGGAUCUGUUAGAGCAAUCGAAGCAGUGAACUUAAGCCCCAGUAAACGGCGGCCGUAACUAUAACGGUCCUAAGGUAGCGAAAUUCCUUGUCGGGUAAGUUCCGACCCGCACGAAAGGCGUAACGAUUUGGGCACUGUCUCA